rnacentral:tRNA from 1 species
CGGGGCAUAGCGCAGUCUGGUAGCGCAUCGGCUUUGGGAGCCGAGGGUCGGGGGUUCGAAUCCCUCUGCCCCGACCA